rnacentral:rRNA from 1 species
ACGGAGGGUGCAAGCGUUGUUCGGAUUCACUGGGUAUAAAGGGUGCGUAGGCGGCGCGAUAAGUCAGGGGUGAAAUAUGUCGGCUCAACCGACAAACUGCCUCUGAAACUGCCGCACUUGAGGACAAGAGAGGAAGGUGGAAUUCCAGGUGUAGCGGUGAAAUGCGUAAAUAUGUCGCGGAACACCAAUGGCGAAGGCAGCCAUCUGGAUUGAUUCUGACGCUGAGGCACGAAAGCGAGGGGAGCAAACGG